rnacentral:rRNA from 1 species
UACGAAGGGGCGAGCGUUGUUCGGAAUUACUGGGCGUAAAGGGCGCGUAGGCGGCCGAUCAAGUUAGAUGUGAAAGUCCUGGGCUUAACCUGGGGACUGCAUUUGAUACUGAUUGGCUUGAAUUCGGGAGAGGAUAGCGGAAUUCCCAGUGUAGAGGUGAAAUUCGUAGAUAUCAGGAGGAACACCGGUGGCGAAGGGCGGGUCUCUGGGCCGAUACUGACGCUGAGGAGCGAAAGCGUGGGGAGCGAACAGG